rnacentral:tRNA from 1 species
GGUUAUGGCUCAGUGGCAGAGUACUCACCUACCAUGCAUGAGGCACUGAGUUCAAUCCUCAGCACCA